UCCUUGUUAGUAUAUCGGUUUAGUACACGCGCCUGUCAUGUGAAAUACGUGUACCGCGCGAGAGCUGGGUUCGACUCCCAGACAGGGAG